rnacentral:tRNA from 1 species
GGGUCUGUAGCUCAGCUGGUUAGAGCGCACCCCUGAUAAGGGUGAGCAAGGGAGGGAAAAUCGCCUCAGCCCCCCCA